CCGGGGUCGGGGGGGGGGCCCUCCGCCCCGCACCCGAAGAGCCGGGCGCCGAGCCUCCGGCCGUUGCCGCAGCCCCUGGCGGCCAGCGAAGCCCUCCUUCACGUCUCAUCCCCGUCCUUUCCCAGUUGAUUCCUGGCUUAUUUGGGGGUCGGUCCGGUGACCCUGAAGGCCGCGCUUGGAGGGCGCCGGGGCUGCGGCAGCAGACUGCCCUCCUCCCGGCGCGGGCGGCCGGCUGCCCCCGAGGCCCGCGCGGCCGCUGCGGUCUCCAUGGUAACGGCCGCGCCGGCGUCUCCGCCCCGGGGGGAAGAUGCGGCCUGCGGCGCCCGCCGCCUCUCCCCCGGCCUCACGGCGGGCCCGGGGCCACUGAGGAGGAAGGUCCCGGCCGCCGGACUGCGGGGCAGCGGGCCCCAGUGAAAUCCCAUUCUCUGGCUGGAGACACAGAUGGCCUCAAAUGAGAGAGAUGCUAUAUCGUGGUACCAAAAGAAGAUUGGAGCAUAUGAUCAGCAGAUAUGGGAAAAGUCAAUCGAACAGACUCAGAUUAAGGGCUUCAAAAACAAACCAAAAAAGAUGGGUCACAUAAAACCAGACUUGAUUGACGUGGACUUAAUCAGAGGCUCAACAUUUGCCAAAGCCAAACCUGAAAUUCCGUGGACAUCUCUGACUCGAAAGGGGCUUGUUCGAGUUGUCUUUUUCCCGUUGUUCAGCAAUUGGUGGAUUCAGGUUACCUCUUUAAGAAUCUUUGUUUGGCUGCUACUGCUUUACCUCAUGCAAGUUAUAGCACUCGUGUUAUAUUUUAUGAUGCCUAUUGUGAAUGUAAGCGAAGUACUUGGACCCUUGUGCCUUAUGUUACUCAUGGGAACUGUCCACUGUCAAAUUGUGUCUACUCAGAUAACAAGGCCAUCGGGAAACAAUGGAAAUCGGAGAAGAAGAAAAUUACGAAAAACUGUAAAUGGUGACGGGAGCCGAGAAAAUGGAAAUAACUCCUCUGAUAAAGUCAGAGGAGUAGAAACUUUGGAAUCUAUACCCUUUAUUGGUGGAUUUUGGGACAGUCUCUUUGGCAACAGGAUUAAAAGAGUGAAAUUAAUAUGUAACAAAGGAACUGGAACUGAUAAUGACCCAAGUUGUCUGCAUCCUAUCAUUAAGAAGAGACAAUGUCGACCAGAGAUUAGAAUGUGGCAAACAAAAGAGAAAGCAAAAUUUUCAGAUGGAGAAAAGUGCCAUAGGGAGGCUUUUAGGCAUCUGGGUAAUGGGAUUUCAGAUGAUCUGUCAAGUGAGGAGGACGGUGAAGCCCGGACACAGAUGAUGAUGUUGCGCAGGAGUGUGGAAGGGGCCUCAAGUGACAACGGCUGUGAAGUUAAGAAUAGAAAGUCAAUACUUUCUAGGCACCUAAACACUCAGGUAAAGAAAACCACCACCAAGUGGUGUCACAUCGCACGGGAUUCAGAUAGUCUGGCUGAAUCAGAGUUUGAAUCGGCAGCCUUCAGUCAGGGCUCUAGGUCUGGCAUGAGUGGUGGCUCUCGAAGCCUGACCAUGUCCAGAAGAGACUCAGAAAGCACCCGCCAUGACUCAGAGACCGAGGAUAUGCUAUGGGACGACCUGCUGCAUGGCCCAGAGUGCCGGUCAUCUGUCACCAGUGACAGUGAGGGGGCCCAUGUGAACACCCUCCAUUCAGGGACCAAGCGUGAUCCCAAAGAAGAUGUUUUUCAGCAGAACCACUUAUUCUGGCUUCAGAACUCAAGUCCUGCCUCUGAUCGAGUUAGUGCAAUAAUCUGGGAAGGGAAUGAGUGCAAAAAGAUGGAUAUGUCUGUGUUGGAAAUAAGUGGCAUCAUCAUGAGCAGGGUUAAUGCAUAUCAGCAAGGAGUAGGUUAUCAGAUGCUGGGAAAUGUCGUCACCAUUGGAUUAGCAUUUUUCCCUUUUUUACAUCGACUUUUCCGUGAGAAGAGUUUUGACCAGCUAAAGUCUAUUUCAGCUGAGGAGAUCAUGACUCUCUUUUGUGGGGCACCACCUGUUACACCUAUUAUUAUUUUGUCUAUGAUUAAUUUUUUUGAACGAUUGUGUCUUACUUGGAUUUUUUUUUUCAUGAUGUGUGUGGCGGAAAGAACAUAUAAACAGAGAUUUUUAUUUGCAAAACUCUUCAGCCAUAUUACUUCUGCCAGGAAGGCUAGGAAAUAUGAAAUACCUCAUUUCAGACUUAAAAAGGUGGAGAACAUUAAGAUAUGGUUAUCACUGCGCUCCUUUCUCAAGAGACGGGGUCCACAGCGCUCAGUUGAUGUCGUUGUAUCUUCAGUCUUCUUACUGACACUUUCCAUUGCUUUCAUUUGUUGUGCCCAGGUUCUGCAAGGGCAUAAAACUUUCCUGAAUGAUGCUUAUAAUUGGGAGUUUUUGAUCUGGGAAACAGCUUUACUACUUUUCUUACUGCGUCUGGCCUCAUUGGGGUCUGAAACCAAUAAGAAAUACAGCAAUGUUUCAAUAUUACUUACGGAACAGAUUAAUUUAUAUCUUAAGAUGGAAAAAAAGCCUAAUAAGAAAGAACAGCUUACUCUAGUAAAUAAUGUAUUAAAGCUGUCCACCAAGUUAUUGAAAGAGCUGGACACACCAUUUAGACUCUAUGGACUGACAAUGAAUCCCUUAAUCUACAAUAUCACACGAGUAGUUAUCCUUUCUGCUGUCUCAGGUGUUAUAAGUGAUCUUCUAGGAUUUAAUAUAAGACUGUGGAAAAUUAAGUCAUAAGCUGAGUCAUGUGCCUGGACUCUCCCCUUGUUGGCACCGGUACUUACCCGUUAAGGAAGGAGACGGCUGCAGAAACCCUGAGAUACCUACCUGCUUGUUCACACACAGAGUUUUGGAAGAUUGUGUGCUUUGGGGCUCCUGGGUGCUGGCUCAGUCGGUUAAGUGUCCAACUUCACCUCAGUUCUUGGUGCCCCUUUGAAUAAUGAAGUUUGAAUUUCACAAAUGUGCAGUAAUUCUAUACCUUUCCUGCAGCAUGCCUGAGCUUAUAAACUGUGAUAAGGUAUUACUCAAGUAGUGAUGUUUUGGAGUUGCAUUUUUAAACCGGGCCUGGGCCAUCACCAGUAGCUGUUAGAAGAGGCAACCGCCAUCUUUAAUGACGAGCUAACAAUCCCUUCUUCUGCAAGGACUCAAAUAUUUCUCUCUGUAAACAUGCAGCAUGCUAUUGAGGAUAUCAACUUCCAAGCCAAACCUAGUUUUUUCAUUACUGUGGAAUUAUCUGAGUGAGACGGAUACAACACACGUGAUACAGUAGAUAACUUGGCACAGAUAUAAAGUGAGUUGUGACCACACUGUGUGCACAUCAGCAUGGACACUCACGGCGACGGGCCGGGGCACCCGAGCCGGGCAUGUCGGAUGAGCGCGCGGGAGGGCAGCCAGCCGGGGGACGGUUGGUCCUUAGCAGUCCUGAAGGCCCUUCAUGCAGCCUGCGUAACUUGAUGUUCAGAGUAAAAUGUGUGUGUUUCAGAAUUUCUGAAAAAAAAAAUGACUUUUGUUUUUGAAAAAUGCCGCUUUUUAGAAAGGAA